rnacentral:rRNA from 2 species
ACGGGGGAUGCGAGCGUUAUCCGGAUUUAUUGGGUUUAAAGGGCGCGUAGGCGGGACGCCAAGUCAGCGGUAAAAGACUGCAGCUAAACUGUAGCACGCCGUUGAAACUGGCGCCCUCGAGACGAGACGAGGGAGGCGGAACAAGUGAAGUAGCGGUGAAAUGCUUAGAUAUCACUUGGAACCCCGAUAGCGAAGGCAGCUUCCCAGGCUCGAUCUGACGCUGAUGCGCGAGAGCGUGGGUAGCGAACAG